ensembl:lincRNA Meg3 uncharacterized LOC110324815
GACGAAGAGCUGGAAUAGAGCUCGCCUCGGCUCUGCUGGCCUUGGCUGCAGCUCUUCCAGAAACCCAGGGCGCCCACAGAAGAAUCUCUUACCUGGCUCUCUCUUCAGGGAUGACAUCAUCGGCUCACACCAGUCUUCCAGGACCACCUUCCAGAUGCCAAGGCUGCUGCUCGAGUACCUGCUGUGCAUCUCUACCUCCUGGUACCACAGCCACUCCCUCAAGUUGUCUGCAUGUUAUAUGGCCUAGCCAAGGAGCAUGGAUUCCAGGAACCCACUACCAUUCAGAGCAACUCCUCGUGGACCCCCUCCCCCCCCCGAUCAGGACAGCGAGGGACAAGAGACAAAGAGGAUCAUCAGUGGCCAGCUAGUCUCUCUGGGGUUCAAACCUUGAACCAGUGCCCUAGUGAGGGGGCACUGGCCAUGACCCUUGACCUUUGCUCUGCUUGUGUCUUGAGUCUGAGUCCUUUCCUGUACAUCUGUGCUUGUGUUCAUCUGCUAGUGAACUGGAGUGCUGCCCUCCCCGAGGGGGGUCGUCCCUUGUGACUGACCAUGCUGUCCUAACAAUGGCCUGAGCAAAAGGGUCCCAUUGGGAACCUCUCAGGAGGGGGACCCGGGUCAGGGGCGACCAGCAUCUUGCUGGCAACUCCGUGGGUGGGGUGGGGCGGGGUGCUUCCUUCUGGAAUGAGCACGUGGCUGACCCCAAAGGCAUGUCCCCUCCCCCUCCUCCACCCACCUUCUCAGAGAUGUCCCUUUUGGGGUAGUGGGGACAUUAGGAGCAACCUCCUAGGGUUGUUGUGAGAAUUAAAUGAACUGCAGCAGCCUGAGGCAGGGCUGGGCAGAGACCUCAGCACAUGUUUGUUGAAAGGUUUGCAGGUGGAUCUAGCCCUCCCGUUCAUGGCUCAUGUGUCUCAACCAUUCUCCCACAGACUCCUGCAGCCCCUAUGCCCAGGGCUCUCCUUGCGCCAGAGGUAGGUGGGAAAGAGAACUGGGAGAGCCCGGACUCACUCAUGAGAUUGAACUUAAAUUCACACUGAGGACACUUGGACUCUUGCCACAUUGGCCCGGCUUCUCGAGGCCUGUCUACACUCGCUGCUUUCCUUCCUCACCUCCAAUUUCCCCUCCAACCCACUGCUUCCUGACUCGCUCUUCUCCAUCGAACGGCUCUCGCUCAGGUUUAAGACUUGGCUUGCUGGCCCUGGAGAUCCCAUCGCCGUCUUCGUCGAACUCGAACUCCUAGCCGUCGUGCUUCCCUGGCCUGUCGCGUCUUCCUGUGCCAUUUGCCGUUGUACUCAGGUUCCACGAGCUGCCCAUCUCCACAGAAGAGCAGCUGGCAUUGCCCUCCGGCCAUGCUGGCUGAAGAAAAGAAGACUGAGGACCCCAGGACGUCCAGCGCGAGGACCCCAGGAAGCUCAGCGCGAGGACCCCAGGAAGCUCAGCGCGAGGACCCCACCCACAAUGCCCAGCGCGAGGACCUCACGCACAACACGUUGCAACCCUUCUGGAUUAGGCCAAAGCCAUCAUCUGGAAUCCUGCGUGGGACCCUGGACACACGGACACAGACACCUGCCCCUGGGACCCUCCAACUGUAAAUUCUUCCACAGCCACAGGGACGCCUUGCACAUUUCCUGUGGGAUAUACUGGACCCAAGACUCUGGACCCUGGCCUCCCCUUGAGUAGAGAGACCCACCUACUGACUGAACUGUGCUGACCCUGGGGUCAGGCAUGUGGCCUUGAUCCCUGUCUAUGGACCCUGAGACUUGGGGGGGGGGGGAAGGCUGUUGAGUCUUCACUGUUGAGUCCACAUCUGUGAAAUGGGCUCAGGUUCCUACCUCACAGGGCUGUUGUGAGGCAGCUGCAAUGUGCUUAGAAGCAUGGGGCCUGGUGGCUCAUGGUGCUUUCAAUAAAUGUUUUUUGUCUUAA